rnacentral:snRNA from 1 species
GUGCUCAAUUCAGUAGUAAGUAUACUAAAAUUGGAACAAUACAAAGAAGAUUAGCGUGGCUCCUAUACAAGUAUGACACACAAAUUUGUGAAGUGUUUUNU